CCUGCUCAAUCUCUAGUUUUCACUUACUAUUGAGAAAUCAUAUAUAUAUAUAAAAGAGAAAAAAGUGGGAAUUUAUCUUAUAGCAUUAAUGGGUAAAACCCAUUAUAUAGUGCCUAUAGAGUCCUCUUAAGAAGCAGUUCAUUCAAAAACGGACUAUAAUGUUCACCUGUCACUCUGAGAACUUUCUUCCUGGGUAUCAAUUUUCUUAUGGGAAGUGAGUAUAGAGUAACAGCAGCAUUGUUUGUCAAUGUCCUCCUGUGAUUGUUAGCAAUGCAUCCUUGCACAUAUUGUUUCAGACAAAAAAUUAGUAUUUUGCAUUAGAAGAGGAUAAUUAGGCAAUAAGAUACAAAAGCGAGUGUGGUUAUCAUGAGAUAAACACACACAUGGGGUGUUAUGAGGCACAGCCAAGUGUCUGUAAUCCCUCUAGGGUAUGAUUAUCUCGUGAUAACCACACACCCUGGAGUUGCCUUAUUGCUAUUAUAAAAUAUCUUUAUUAUAGGAAGAAAUGUGCAUUUUUGUGCAGAAAGGAGACGGAGCUGGCAAUUUAGAAUGCCGAACAGCAGUUUCAGCUGAGCUAUGUGGUUUACAUAGAUUAAUCUAUCCCAUUGGAAUGUUUCCCCAGCCAAAAAAAUGUUCCCUAAAUCCAAGCAGUCAUAAUCUGUAGUGAUGUGCAGCUAUUUGGAGCAUUUGAGAAAUUCCCUGCCUGGUUCUUAGGCUGUUGGUUUGAUGGUUGCAUGGGGUGAAUUCUGAGAUGCACAAUGACAAGAGGCUACAGUAUUGUGGAAGCUUGGUGUUCUGGGAACCCAAAUUGUGAUGCAUGCAAAUGUCAAAAUUCUGUACAAUAAUUUUAUCUGUUUUCUCGAUCAGAGUAAAUGUCUUAAAAUCCUUAUGAAAACAGCAUCUCACAACAGAAAUGUUCCUAAGGGAGAGAAAUUAUUAAGGUGGAAACAAGAAGAUGGAGAUGAAACUCAAAAUCGUGCGGAAGGAGUUGAUGAAUGUCACAGGACUCCUUCCAUUCAACCAUCUUCCAGUGUGACUGUUCUGGGAAUUGGCACUGAGCUUAUGGUGCCUUGUCACUACCAAUAGUGACUUCCAUUGAGUUAUUUCCUGCUACUGUCCUCUGCAAGUAGGACCUGUGUGUCCAUGCCUGCUAAUGCUGGCCCCUCAUUCCACAACACUGGUCCUGAUGCCAGCUACACCUGCCCCAGCACCACUCAGAAAAUGGCAACAGCUGGAGCAGGUACCUUGAGCCCAGAGAUGGAAACCCCAUGUCCAGGAUGAAUCUAGCAGCCUGCGUACUAAAGAUCCUGUGGACAAAGUAAGUGAAGCCUCCAGCCUUACUGCUAAUCUCUGAACUGUUAUGACAGGGAAACAGGCC